rfam:Oryza barthii chromosome 1, whole genome shotgun sequence.
AAAAAGACGAACCCUGAGUUUCCGUGUCCAACGUUUGACUAUCCGUCUUAUAUGAAAUUAUUUUAUAAUUAGUAUUUUCAUUAUUGUUAGAUGAUAAAACAUGAUUAAUACUUUAUGCGUGACUUGUCUUUUUUUUUCAUAAUUUUUUUUAAAUAAGACUUAUGUUCAAACGUUGAACACGGAAACCCAGGAUUUGUCUUUUU